ACCAGAAUGGCUGAGUGGUUUAAGGCGUUAGACUUAAGAUCUAAUGGACGUGCAGGUGUCCGUGUGUGUUUCGAAUCCCACUUCUGGUA